AGGGUUUGAUCAUGGCUCAGAACGUACGCUGGCGGCACGCCUAACACAUGCAAGUCGAACGAAGUAGCAAUACUUAGUGGCAGACGGGUGAGUAACAUGUGGGUAUCUGCCCUUUGGCCUGGAAUAACACGAGGAAACUUGUGCUAAUACUGGAUAAGUCUUUACGGAGAAAGCUUUAUGCACCAUUGGAUGAGCCCGCACUUGAUUAGUUUGUUGGUGGGGUAAUGGCCUACCAAGACUUUGAUCAAUAGCUGAUUUGAGAGGAUGAUCAGCCACAUUGGGACUGAGACACGGCCCAAACUCCUACGGGAGGCAGCAGUGGGGAAUCUUGCACAAUGGAGGAAACUCUGAUGCAGCGAUGCCGCGUGAGUGAAGAAGGCCCUUGGGUUGUAAAGCUCUUUCGUCGGGGAAGAAAAUGACUGUACCCGAAUAAGAAGGUCCGGCUAACUUCGUGCCAGCAGCCGCGGUAAUACGAAGGGACCUAGCGUAGUUCGGAAUUACUGGGCUUAAAGAGUUCGUAGGUGGUUGAAAAAGUUGGUGGUGAAAUCCCAGAGCUUAACUCUGGAACUGCCAUCAAAACUUUUCAGCUAGAGUUUGAUAGAGGAAAGCAGAAUUUCUAGUGUAGAGGUGAAAUUCGUAGAUAUUAGAAAGAAUACCAAUUGCGAAGGCAGCUUUCUGGAUCAUUACUGACGCUGAGGAACGAAAGCAUGGGUAGCGAAGAGGAUUAGAUACCCUCGUAGUCCAUGCCGUAAACGAUGUGUGUUAGACGUUGGAAAUUUAUUUUCAGUGUCGCAGCGAAAGCGAUAAACACACCGCCUGGGGAGUACGACCGCAAGGUUAAAACUCAAAUGAAUUGACGGGGACCCGCACAAGUAGUGGAGCAUGUGGUUUAAUUCGAAGAUACGCGCAGAACCUUACCAACACUUGACAUGUUCGUCGCAACUUUAAGAGAUUAAAGUUUUCGGUUCGGCCGGACGAAACACAGGUGCUGCAUGGCUGUCGUCAGCUCGUGUCGUGAGAUGUUGGGUUAAGUCCCGCAACGAGCGCAACCCUCACUUUUAGUUGCCAUCAUUAAGUUGGGCACUCUGAAAGAACUGCCAGUGAUAAGCUGGAGGAAGGUGGGGAUGACGUCAAGUCCUCAUGGCCCUUACGUGUUGGGCUACACACGUGCUACAAUGGUAUCUACAACAGGAAGCGAAACAGCGAUGUUAAGCAAAUCCUUAAAAGAUACCUCAGUUCGGAUUGCACUCUGCAACUCGAGUGCAUGAAGCUGGAAUUACUAGUAAUCGUGGAUCAGCGUGCCACGGUGAAUGCGUUCCCGGGUCUUGUACACACCGCCCGUCACACCAUGGGAGUUGGUUCUACCUUAAGGCAAGGUUUAAUACCCUUGACCACGGUAUAGUCAGCGACUGGGGUGAAGUCGUAACAAGGUAGCCGUA
rnacentral:rRNA from 1 species